rnacentral:snRNA from 1 species
GUUCUAUUGUCGAAGUUCGA